GAGAAGGCGUGCCUAAUACAUGCUUUUCCCGCGAAUUUUGAGGAGCUUGCUCCUCAAGGUUAGCGGCGGACGGGUGAGUAACACGUGGGCAACCUGCCUGUAAGACUGGGAUAACACCGGGAAACCGGUGCUAAUACCGGAUAAUUCUUCAUCUCUCAUGAGGUGAAGCUGAAAGUCGGUUUCGGCUGACACUUACAGAUGGGCCCGCGGCGCAUUAGCUAGUUGGUGAGGUAACGGCUCACCAAGGCGACGAUGCGUAGCCGACCUGAGAGGGUGAUCGGCCACACUGGGACUGAGACACGGCCCAGACUCCUACGGGAGGCAGCAGUAGGGAAUCUUCCGCAAUGGACGAAAGUCUGACGGAGCAACGCCGCGUGAGUGAUGAAGGCCUUCGGGUCGUAAAACUCUGUUGUUAGGGAAGAACAAGUACCGGAGUAACUGCCGGUACCUUGACGGUACCUAACCAGAAAGCCACGGCUAACUACGUGCCAACA
rnacentral:rRNA from 1 species